rnacentral:rRNA from 1 species
GACGCUAUUCCCUAAGAUUAACCCAUGCAUGUUUUUGACAUUUGAAAAAUGGACUGCUCAGUAAUACUCACUUUAUUUUAUGUAAAUUUUUAAUUAACUACGUUAAAGUGUAGAUAAGAUGUUUACAGUAAGAGUGAGACCUAUCAGCUAGUUGUUAAGGUAAUGGCUUAACAAGGCUGUGACGGGUAACGGUAUUACUUUGUAAUAUUCCGGAGAAGGAGCCUGAGAGACGGCUACUAAGUCUAAGGAUUGCAGCAGGGGCGAAACUUGACCUAUGGAUUUUAUCUGAGGCAGUUAUGGGAAGUAAUAUUAUAUUGUUUCAUAUUUAAAAGUA